UACAGAGGCCUCGAGCGUUAGGCGGAAUCACUGGGCUUAAAGCGUGUGUAGGCGGAUGUCUAAGUACCUUGUGAAAUCCCAUGGCUUAACCAUGGAACUGCUCGGUAUACUGGAUGUCUUGGGCCACUUAGGGGUCACUGGAACAAAUGGUGGAGCGGUGAAAUGCGUAGAUAUCAUUUGGAACGCCAAAGGUGAAAACAGGUGACUGGGAGUGUGCCGACGCUGAGACACGAAAGCCAGGGGAGCAAACGGG
rnacentral:rRNA from 1 species